rnacentral:rRNA from 1 species
GACGAACGCUGGCGGCGUGCUUAACACAUGCAAGUCGAACGGAAAGGCCCUGCUUGCAGGGUGCUCGCGUGGCGAACGGGUGAGUAACACGUGGGUGUUCUGCCCCUUACUUUUGGAUAAGCCUGGGAAACUGUGUCUCAUACUGGAUAUGACCAUGCCUUCUGUGGUGUGGUGGAUAGAUUGGUUUCGGUAGUGGAUGAGCUCGCGGCCUAUCAGCUGGUUGUUGGGGUAGUGGCCUAUCAAGGCGUCUACGCGUAGCCGGCGUGCGAGGGUGUGCGGCGACAUUGGGAGGAAGAUAAGGCGGCGAAUCCUACGGGGGGAAGCAGUGGGGAGGAUUGCAGAAUGAGGGGAGGCAUGAUGAAGCGGCGCCGCGUGGGGGAGGACGACGUUCGGGUGGUAAAAUCCUGUUAGCCAUGACGAAGCAGUUGGGGUGACGGUAGUGGGAGAAGAAGCACCGGCUAACUACGUG